CCGUCUUGAAACACGGACCAAGGAGUCUAACAUGUGCGCGAGUCAUUGGGACUGGUUAAGCCUAAAGGCGCAAUGAAAGUGAAGGUCGACCCUAGCGUCGACCGAGGGAGGAUGGCUCGCGUCACGAUGCGAGUCCGCACUCCCGGGGCGUCUCGCGCUCAUUGCGAGCGGAGGCGCACCCAGAGCGUACACGUUGGGACCCGAAAGAUGGUGAACUAUGCCUGGUCAGGACGAAGUCAGGGGAAACCCUGAUGGAGGUCCGUAGCGAUUCUGACGUGCAAAUCGAUCGUCGGAACUGGGUAUAGGGGCGAAAGACUAAUCGAACCAUCUAGUAGCUGGUUCCCUCCGAAGUUUCCCUCAGGAUAGCUGGCACUCGCUUGAGCGAGUCUCAUCUGGUAAAGCGAAUGAUUAGAGGCCUUGGGGCCGAAACGACCUCAACCUAUUCUCAAACUUUAAAUGGGUGAGAUCUCUGGCUUGCUUGAACGUUGAAGCCACGAGAUUAAUUUUUCUUUCAAAUGGAUCAGAGUGCCAAGUGGGCCAAUUUUGGUAAGCAGAACUGGCGCUGUGGGA
rnacentral:rRNA from 1 species